UACGAAGGGUCCAAGCGUUAUCCGGAUUUAUUGGGUUUAAAGGGUGCGUAGGCGGUCUAUUAAGUCAGUGCUGAAAUAUCCCGGCUUAACCGGGAGGGUGGCAUUGAUACUGAUGGACUUGAGUGCAGUCGAGGUAGGCGGAAUUGACGGUGUAGCGGUGAAAUGCUUAGAUAUCGUCAAGAACACCGAUAGUGAAGACAGCUUACUAGACUGUAACUGACGCUGAGGCACGAAAGUGUGGGGAUCAAACAGG
rnacentral:rRNA from 1 species